GAUGAACGCUGGCGGCGUGCCUAAUACAUGCAAGUCGAGCGAACGGACGAGAAGCUUGCUUCUCUGAUGUUAGCGGCGGACGGGUGAGUAACACGUGGAUAACCUACCUAUAAGACUGGGAUAACUUCGGGAAACCGGAGCUAAUACCGGAUAAUAUUUUGAACCGCAUGGUUCAAAAGUGAAAGACGGUCUUGCUGUCACUUAUAGAUGGAUCCGCGCUGCAUUAGCUAGUUGGUAAGGUAACGGCUUACCAAGGCAACGAUGCAUAGCCGACCUGAGAGGGUGAUCGGCCACACUGGAACUGAGACACGGUCCAGACUCCUACGGGAGGCAGCAGUAGGGAAUCUUCCGCAAUGGGCGAAAGCCUGACGGAGCAACGCCGCGUGAUUGAUGAAGGUCUUCGGAUCGUAAACCUCUGUUAUUAGGGAAGAACAUAUGUGUAAGUAACUGUGCACAUCUUGACGUUACCUAAUCAGAAAGCCACGGCUAACUACGUG
rnacentral:rRNA from 1 species